UACGUAGGGCGCAAGCGUUGUCCGGAAUUAUUGGGCGUAAAGAGCUCGUAGGCGGCCAGUUGCGUCUGCUGUGAAAUCCCGGGGCUUAACCCCGGGCGUGCAGUGGAUACGGGCCGGCUGGAGGCAGGCAGGGGAGAAUGGAAUUCCCGGUGUAGCGGUGAAAUGCGCAGAUAUCGGGAGGAACACCGGUGGCGAAGGCGGUUCUCUGGGCCUGUACUGACGCUGAGGAGCGAAAGCGUGGGGAGCGAACAGG
rnacentral:rRNA from 1 species